ensembl:lncRNA
GUCCGCUGCUGGGCUCUGCGUGUCCGACCAUCCCCGAUGCUUCUGCUGAUCCUGCGCACAGCUGCGCCCACGUGCCUUUACUCCUCUCUUCGCCCGAACAACUUGGGCUGCGUUCUGUUUCUUGCCAGAGCUCUGGCUGGUGUCCUGACCUCCUGCAGUCUUCUCCAAGCUCCUUUCAAGUGUCAUGCGCUCCACCUGCCUGGAUCAGCAAACACGCGGCAACAGAAAGAGCACAGGAAGCCAAAUGCGGUUUUAUUUCUGGUUCGGUCACUUGGUGACUGGGUCACAAGAAGUUCCUGAAGACACUCUCUUGCCGCCCUGCCUGUGCGGACGCUGCUGAAGGCCUCCACCCUGCUCUGUGCUCCUCCCCAUCUCCCACGUGCCUACCGUCUGCUCGCAAGGCCGCUGGCUGCAGCUUCGUCAAGGCCGGAGUGUCUCCAGGGUCACCGUCCACCGUGAGAACACGGCCCACAAGGAUCAACGCCCCUAGAGCCUGCUCCUUGUGUUCCUCUGUGUGGCCUCGCGCUGGGGGAGGGAACGGGCUCCACUGCCUCGAAGCUGUCUCAGCCCCGAGUGCAGAGCCUCCUGCACUUGGUUUCACAUCAGAACAAAACAGGAGAACAGGGGAGAAGAAGGUGGAGGACAGGUGAUGCGGGAAGAUGAGGAGGACAUUAAGAGGGGAGGAGAGAAAAGGAAGAAGACCAGCUCGGAAGGACCAGGACCAGGAACUCACAAGCCAGUGAGGUCCACCGGGUUUAUGGUUUAGGCCAGAAGUCACCAUCUCAGAGACUCAGUAUGAAAACAGGGACCACCAAGAGGAGGAGUCUGCAGCCAGAGUGUGUGACUGCUAGGAAAUAAGACACAAUAGAAACGGAGGUGUGGAUGAGGGAGCGUCUUCAGCUCGGACAGGAAGGAAGGGUGUCAGCAGUUGGGGAAGGAAAAGGAACCUGAUCGGGAACCACUGUUUUCAUCAACGUUGCUCUGGAGCUCUGUCGGGGUAUUUUCCCUCCCUGAGUGACAACUGUAUUGAUGCACAAAGUAAAUGAGAAAAUACUC